GGGAAGGUGGCUCAGUGGUAGAGCACUUGCCUUGCAUGCUCGAGGCCCUGGGUUCGAUUCCUCAGCCCCA
rfam:Dipodomys ordii contig_70696, whole genome shotgun sequence.